UGUAUUGAGUGUGAAUUGAUCAUUCGAUUACAAUGGGAUGUUGCCUGCAAAUAGGAAUUUUAAUACUCGUGGUUCCAUUGGUUCAAUAAUUAGGCAUGUUGCUUGUUGUCAAGGUAUCCCUUUUCGGUCCCUUCUCAUUCCAUUUGAUAUUCAGCUUACAAGUUAAACAGAGUCUAGUAGUAUGUCAUAUGGUUUUCCUGAUGUUUGGUUCGUGCAAGUACCUGAAUUGAGUAUGUUUGGGAAGGCCAAAGACUGAAUGUCCAGAAUAUGGAUACGAAAGGUUCCUCUCCGUCUUGCACAUCUCUGAACCCAACCAUUUUUUUUGGGAAAUGCCCAAACGAAUGUGAAGGACAAGUAGGUCGUUCCUCUGUUCUUUAAUGUUCAGAGUCAAGUAGUACAUCAUAUUGUUCUCCUGAUGUUUGGUUCAAGCAACCUACUGAAUUCAACAUGUUUCGAAUUGGACAGGUGAUAGACUGACAUUUUUUCAUCAGCAAAUGCGGCUGGUUGUAGCGUGUUGCGAGAAAUGCAGCGACUUAUUGAUGCUACGAGAGCUGGGAUUGAUGAAUGCAGCACUCGAUCGACGUAUGGAGAAGUUGGCCGCCCAAAAUGCGAAGGUUCAGGUUUUAGUGUACUUUCUUUUCGUCAUUCUUCUUCUAGUGUUGCUAGUUAUUAAGCUACUGAAGUAGGAUAUGAAAUGGAUCGUGGUCGCCUUUCUGUACGAGGCGGCGCUAGCUCCCUGCUGCCGGAUGGGACGAAAUUGGUUCUGUUGAGCUCUGUAGGGUUUGGAGAAAUUGCAUGUUUACAAAAGAAAAGAGGGAGAGCCAGUAUUCAGAAACUGCAACCAUACAUGAUAUGUUUCGAGGACCUCUAAGCUCAGAUCAUUGCCCACGCAUGUUUGUCCAAAGCAAAUAUUCUUCCUUCCAUGUUGGCCACUACAUUCAGAGUUCAGUCAGCAGCUUCAGCACCCUUUGGAGUGUGAGAGCUUCAGAUCGAAGACCUUCACUGGAUAAUGUGAAUAGAGCAUCACUUCUUCUUCGGUGCAAUCCCCCUAAACACAACGACGGCUAAUGUGAAUAGAACAUUACGAGAAAAGACGGAGAAUAAAACAGUUGAACUUGAGAUCUGGUACUAUAACUUUAUUGCAAGUAUAGCCUAAAUAUAUCAGCAA
rnacentral:lncRNA from 1 species